AUUCAAAUAGCUUAUAUUAGAGCGUGACACUGAAGAUGUUAAAGAGACUGCUAAGUCUUUGAAUA
rnacentral:tRNA from 1 species